GGCUUAAAAUACCCCGACAGGUGUGAGCGCAUACUCAUUACAGCCAGAGAAAGAGAGAGUCCUGUGUACAAAUGAAAAUGAAUCACAUGUCUUGGCAGGACGGACGUGGUCACUGAUGAAACAUCUGCUGAAGAGAAUCAAACAGCUGGCAUCUGAAAGAAGAGGAGACAACAACAGUAUGGAGAAGAUGAGUAAAUGCUGAUAAAGAUUUAGUCCAGUAUCAUGUUCAUGAAGGUGUUGAGGUGUCAGAGUCUCAGGAUGCAAAGUUUUCAGGACGAGUCCAGAGUGACAAAGACGCCCUCAGAGAAGGACGAAUCAGACUUCAACUGUCCAGACUCAGGAUUGAUGACUCGGGUCUGUACCUGUAUGAUGUCAACACUGAUGAUGGCUUCAGUGUUGGAAGAUGUCGACUCAACAUCACUGCCAUGAGACCUGAAAGAAAACCUGAGACAUCAAACACAGAGAGUAAAGGAAGGAUCGACCUCUACUCUGGACUAAUGGCAGCUCUGCUUCCUUUAUUUAGUUAAAAUAAUAAACAUGUUUAUAAUUGGGCAGCACGGUGGCACGGUGGUUAGCA